UACGGAAGGGGGCUAGCGUUGCUCGGAAUCACUGGGCGUAAAGGGUGCGUAGGCGGGUCUUAAGUCAGGGGUGAAUCCUGGAGCUCAACUCCAGAACUGCCUUUGAUACUGAGGAUCUUGAGUUCGGGAGAGGUGAGUGGAACUGCGAGUGUAGAGGUGAAAUUCGUAGAUAUUCGCAAGAACACCAGUGGCGAAGGCGGCUCGACU
rnacentral:rRNA from 1 species